rnacentral:tRNA from 1 species
UAAAGCAUAGUAUAACCCAUUACAUUUCACUUACACUGAUAUAAUUUCUAUAUAAGAAUGCUUUAA